GCCUGGCUGGCUCAGUUGGUAGAGCAUGGGACUCUUGAUCGAACUCAGGGUCGUGAGUUCAAGCCUCACCCUGGGCG
rnacentral:tRNA from 1 species